UACGUAGGGUGCAAGCGUUAAUCGGAAUUACUGGGCGUAAAGCGUGCGCAGGCGGUUAUGUAAGACAGAUGUGAAAUGCCCGGGCUUAACCUGGGAACUGCAUUUGUGACUGCAUGGCUAGAGUUUGGCAGAGGGGGGGGUAGAAUUCCACGUGUAGCAGUGAAAUGCGUAGAUAUGUGGAGGAACACCGAUGGCGAAGGCAGCCC
rnacentral:rRNA from 1 species